rnacentral:lncRNA from 1 species
AUGGCAUUGCAGAGUGCCGGGGAUACCUUGAAUAAACAAUUCAGUCAAGCAGCGACUGACUGCAGGACUCAAGAGCACUAGAAAACUGCACAUGUGGGGAAUAGACGCUGUCAGCCCCAGUCACCUUCAUGUUUUUCUAUUAUUAUUAUUAUUAUUUUUUUUUUUACAACUGAAUUGUUCGUAAAGAGAAAUAAAUACGCGUCUCUGACUGUCCCGAAUGCAGCAUAAUUUUCAACGUGAUUCUGUUUUUUUCACCACCCGAACAGAUGCAGUUCAAGGACGCCUGCAGGCAGCACAACCCUCGCUGUGCUUCUGAUGUGCUUCUCAAGGUCCGUCACCAGCUGACCUUGUGGACAGAAUUUCUGGAUGUGAGCAGUGAAUACACUCACAAACUUGGAGCUUUGAAGUACAAAUCCAGUGCCAUGGAAUCCCACAAGACUGACUGCAUUAUGAUCCUGUACUUACCUUAACAAUGACAAACAUGAUUUUAAACAAAAUUCAUGCUUAGCUCUUGCCUCCUGUAUGGGGCUUGUGAAGCUACAUUAGACCUUUCUUUUACCUAAAAAACAAGGUUUGGAAGCUAAAAACUGCAAGGUGUCUUGGCAGAACGUAACAGAGAACGUUUUUCCCCUCUAUUGUGGUGGCCAACCAUAC